rnacentral:tRNA from 1 species
GGGCGUGUAGCUCAGCGGGAGAGCGCCCGCCUUACAAGCGGGAGGUCCAAGGUUCGACCCCUUGCACGCCCACCA